rnacentral:rRNA from 1 species
UACGGAGGGGGCUAGCGUUGUUCGGAAUUACUGGGCGUAAAGAGCUCGUAGGCGGUUUGUCGCGUCUGCUGUGAAAACUGGAGGCUCAACCUCCAGCCUGCAGUGGGUACGGGCAAACUAGAGUGCGGUAGGGGAGAUUGGAAUUCCCGGUGUAGCGGUGAAAUGCGUAGAGAUCGGGAGGAACACCGGCGGCGAAGGCGGCUGCCUGGACCAGUCCUGACGCUGAGGCGCGAAAGCUAGGGGAGCAAACAGGG